CGAAUUCGCCCUUCCUACGGGAGGCAGCAGUGGGGAAUAUUGCGCAAUGGGCGGAAGCCUGACGCAGCGACGCCGCGUGGGGGAUGACGGCCUUCGGGUUGUAAACCUCUUUCGACCUUGACGAAGCCUUUCGGGGUGACGGUAGGGGUAGAAGAAGCACCGGCCAACUACGUGCCAGCAGCCGCGGUAAUACGUAGGGUGCGAGCGUUGUCCGGAAUUAUUGGGCGUAAAGAGCUCGUAGGCGGUCUGUCGCGUCGGUCGUGAAAACUUGGGGCUUAACCCUGAGCUUGCGGUCGAUACGGGCAUGACUGGAGUUCGGCAGGGGAGACUGGAAUUCCUGGUGUAGCGGUGGAAUGCGCAGAUAUCAGGAGGAACACCGGUGGCGAAGGCGGGUCUCUGGGCCGAUACUGACGCUGAGGAGCGAAAGCGUGGGGAGCGAACAGGAUUAGAUACCCUGGUAGUCCACGCCGUAAACGGUGGGCGCUAGGUGUGGGGGCCAUUCCACGGUCUCUGUGCCGCAGCUAACGCAUUAAGCGCCCCGCCUGGGGAGUACGGCCGCAAGGCUAAAACUCAAAGGAAUUGACGG
rnacentral:rRNA from 1 species